rnacentral:rRNA from 1 species
GAUGAACGCUGGCGGCGUGCCUAAUACAUGCAAGUCGAGCGAACAGACGAGGAGCUUGCUCCUCUGACGUUAGCGGCGGACGGGUGAGUAACACGUGGAUAACCUACCUAUAAGACUGGGAUAACUUCUGGAAACCGGAGCUAAUACCGGAUAAUAUAUUGAACCGCAUGGUUCAAUAGUGAAAGACGGUUUUGCUGUCACUUAUAGAUGGAUCCGCGCCGCAUUAGCUAGUUGGUAAGGUAACGGCUUACCAAGGCAACGAUGCGUAGCCGACCUGAGAGGGUGAUCGGCCACACUGGAACUGAGACACGGUCCAGACUCCUACGGGAGGCAGCAGUAGGGAAUCUUCCGCAACGGGCGAAAGCCUGACGGAGCAACGCCGCGUGAGUGAUGAAGGUCUUCGGAUCGUAAAACUCUGUUAUUAGGGAAGAACAAAUGUGUAAGUAACUAUGCACGUCUUGACGGUACCUAAUCAGAAAGCCACGGCUAACUACGUG